rnacentral:rRNA from 1 species
CCAGAGAACUUAGCAGAGAUGCUUUGGUGCCUUCGGGAACUCUGAGACAGGUGCUGCAUGGCUGUCGUCAGCUCGUGUUGUGAAAUGUUGGGUUAAGUCCCGCAACGAGCGCAACCCUUAUCCUUUGUUGCCAGCGGUCCGGCCGGGAACUCAAAGGAGACUGCCAGUGAUAAACUGGAGGAAGGUGGGGAUGACGUCAAGUCAUCAUGGCCCUUACGAGUAGGGCUACACACGUGCUACAAUGGCGCAUACAAAGAGAAGCGACCUCGCGAGAGCAAGCGGACCUCAUAAAGUGCGUCGUAGUCCGGAUUGGAGUCUGCAACUCGACUCCAUGAAGUCGGAAUCGCUAGUAAUCGUAGAUCAGAAUGCUACGGUGAAUACGUUCCCGGGCCUUGUACACACCGCCCGUCACACCAUGGGAGUGGGUUGCAAAAGAAGUAGGUGGCUUAACCUUCGGGAGGGCGCUUACCACUUUGUGAUUCAUGACUGGGGUGAAGUCGUAACAAGGUAGGCGUACGUGU